rnacentral:tRNA from 1 species
GCGAGAGUGCUGGAAUCGGCAGACAGGCAUGUUUGAGGGGCAUGUGUCAGAAUUGACGUGUGGGUUCAAGUCCCAUCUCUCGCACCA